rnacentral:rRNA from 1 species
AGUGAACGCUGGCGGUAGGCCUAACACAUGCAAGUCGAGCGGCAGCACAGUAAGAGCUUGCUCUUACGGGUGGCGAGUGGCGGACGGGUGAGGAAUACAUCGGAAUCUACUUUUUCGUGGGGGAUAACGUAGGGAAACUUACGCUAAUACCGCAUACGACCUACGGGUGAAAGCAGGGGAUCUUCGGACCUUGCGCGAUUGAAUGAGCCGAUGUCGGAUUAGCUAGUUGGCGGGGUAAAGGCCCACCAAGGCGACGAUCCGUAGCUGGUCUGAGAGGAUGAUCAGCCACACUGGAACUGAGACACGGUCCAGACUCCUACGGGAGGCAGCAGUGGGGAAUAUUGGACAAUGGGCGCAAGCCUGAUCCAGCCAUACCGCGUGGGUGAAGAAGGCCUUCGGGUUGUAAAGCCCUUUUGUUGGGAAAGAAAAGCAGCAGGUUAAGACCCCGCUGUUCUGACGGUACCCAAAGAAUAAGCACCGGCUAACUUCGU